CAGUCGCCGCGGGAAUACGUAUGUCACAAGCGUUAUCCGGAUUUAUUGGGCGUAAAGCGCGUCUAGGUGGUUAUGUAAGUCUGAUGUGAAAAUGCAGGGCUCAACUCUGUAUUGCGUUGGAAACUGUGUAACUAGAGUACUGGAGAGGUAAGCGGAACUACAAGUGUAGAGGUGAAAUUCGUAGAUAUUUGUAGGAAUGCCGAUGGGGAAGCCAGCUUACUGGACAGAUACUGACGCUGAAGCGCGAAAGCGUGGGUAGCAAACAGGAUUAGAUACCCCAGUAGUCCCUGUCUCUUAUACA
rnacentral:rRNA from 1 species